AAAUCUAAACGACUCUCGGCAACGGAUAUCUCGGCUCUCGCAUCGAUGAAGAACGUAGCGAAAUGCGAUACUUGGUGUGAAUUGCAGAAUCCCGUGAACCAUCGAGUCUUUGAACGCAAGUUGCGCCCGAAGCCUUGGCCGAGGGCACGCCUGCCUGGGU
rnacentral:rRNA from 2 species